rnacentral:lncRNA from 1 species
UGCCUUCUCCUUCGGGAAAGAAAGUGUAUAGGAGGCUGGCUUCACAGCACUUGGACAGCACUAGGUUUCAGUUCCUGUUCCCUUGACUACUAGCCAUGUGACCAUGAGCAGGAGAACGAGGCCAGAAAAGCUAUAGGAACACAAUGUUGCAAGAAGGUGGGAGUGAAGAAUAGAUGCCAGACCUCACUGGGAACAAGAGAAAUGCACAUUAAAACUGGCACGGAGUUCCUGCAGUUCUCCUGUCAGGUGGGCAGGCGACAUUGCGUUGGAGAGGCUGUGGGGAAACAGCCUUAUUCAUAGAAGCAAAAGAUUACACACAACUCAAGCGGAAUCAAGAGGAGACCUUGUAAGCAAAUGAUGCUCCACUUAUACUUUGGGAAACGAGGCAACCGUUAAAAAGAACAAGGACACUUCGUACUGACAUGAGAUGGUCUCUGAAGUGUAGGUAAAAUGCAAAGUGUGUCCCACCAGGGUAACCAGCAAGCCUCCUUUUGUGUAAAAAUGGAUAAAUAGGAAUAUUUUGCUUUGUAUUUGCUUCUGUUUGCACGAAGAAAUCAAAGAACUACACAAAUAGCCUGUAAAAAGAUGGAAACAGAUCCAAAUAUAUCAGUAGGUAUUAUAAAUGUAAAUGGACUAAACUUGUUAAUAAAAAGGCAC